rnacentral:tRNA from 1 species
UUCUAGGUAGCUCAUUCUGGUAGAGCAGUUGACUUCCAAUCAACCUGUAGUAGGUUCGAAUCCUACCCUAAACU